AAGUCGUAACAAGGUUUCCAUAGGUGAACCUGUGGAAGGAUCAUUAAUGAAUUUGUCUUUUUCAAGACUCUUUCUAUACCCUUUGUUUACCUUACCACAUUGCUUCCACUGGACAGGUCUUUGGACCCUUUGGCAAGUCUUUCACAGACCUGUUGGGGAGUUGCCGGUGGAUGACACAAACCAAAAACUUAAACCGAAAUUUACUUUGUCUGAAUCAUUUUAUAAAUUAUUAUAAAACUUUCAACAACGGAUCUCUAGGCUCUU
rnacentral:misc_RNA from 1 species